GACGAACCGUGCGAACGUUGUUCGGAAUCACUGGGCUUAAAGGGCGCGUAGGCGGGUUUUCAAGUCUGUGGUGAAAGCCUCCAGCUUAACUGGAGAAGUGCCGUGGAUACUGGAGACCUCGAGGAGGGUAGGGGCAUCUGGAACAGCCGGUGGAGCGGUGAAAUGCGUUGAUAUUGGGAGGAACACCAGUGGCGAAGGCGGCUCACUGGACCGGAACUGACGCUGAGGCGCGAAAGCGUGGGGAGCAAACAGG
rnacentral:rRNA from 1 species